AGUUUUAAGUGAAGAGUUUGAUCCUGGCUCAGAGUGAACGCUGGCGGUAGGCCUAACACAUGCAAGUCGAACGGCAGCACAGAGGAGCUUGCUCCUUGGGUGGCGAGUGGCGGACGGGUGAGGAAUACAUCGGAAUCGACUCUGUCGUGGGGGAUAACGUAGGGAAACUUACGCUAAUACCGCAUACGACCUACGGGUGAAAGCAGGGGAUCUUCGGACCUUGCGCGAUUGAAUGAGCCGAUGUCGGAUUAGCUAGUUGGCGGGGUAAAGGCCCACCAAGGCGACGAUCCGUAGCUGGUCUGAGAGGAUGAUCAGCCACACUGGAACUGAGACACGGUCCAGACUCCUACGGGAGGCAGCAGUGGGGAAUAUUGGACAAUGGGCGCAAGCCUGAUCCAGCCAUACCGCGUGGGUGAAGAAGGCCUUCGGGUUGUAAAGCCCUUUUGUUGGGAAAGAAAUCCAUCUGGUUAAUACCCGGGUGGGAUGACGGUACCCAAAGAAUAAGCACCGGCUAAC
rnacentral:rRNA from 1 species